UGAAUUAACGAGUUAAUUAUCUCAGAAUUACGAGAUAAUUUUUCAUGAAAAAAAGUUUUUGCUCUGUUUUUCUGAAUUAACGAGUUAAUUAUCUCAGAAUUACGAGAUAAAUUUUUCAUGAAUAAAAAGUUUUUGCUCUGUUUUUCUGAAUUAAUGACUUAAUUAUCUCAAAAUUAUGAGAUAAUUUUUUCUUGAAUAAAAAGUUUUUGCUCUGUUUUUCUGAAUUAAUGACUUAAUUAUCUCAAAAUUAUGAGAUCAUUUUUCAUUAAAAAAAAAAUAUUUUGUUCUGUUUUUCUGAAUUAAUGAGACCCCUCAAAAUCCUACCAAGAGCUCUGUUUUAGCUGGACUGCAUGGAAGUAAACAUGUCCCGCCUUUCAAGUUUAAUCCGGUUUUAUUUUACAUUGGGUUUGAGACAUUGGGAGAUACUGCUGUCUUUAAGUAAUAUAAAUGGUAUUGUUAUUAGUGCGUCAACUUUGCGCAGACACCUCAAGACUUUGCGUCUGUUCAGGAGAAAAGAACAUUCUGAUCUGCUUGACAUUGCUGUGUUUCUCCAGGAUCAGUUGAACCGAUAUGGUAUGCUUCACGGAUAUAAGAUGAUGCAUCUGAAAUGCAUUCAGGCUGGCUACGUGGUGACACAAGAGACAAUCAGGCAAUUGUUGAAAAUACUGGAUCCCCAUGGAGUGCAACUGAGGCGCCGGAAUCGUCUUCGGCGACGUUUGUAUCAUAAUCCAGGCCCUAACUUUUUAUGGCAUGUUGAUUCAUAUGAUAAACUCAAACCAUAUGGGAUCUGCAUCAAUGGUGCAAUCGACGGGUUUUCACGAAUGAUAAUAUGGCUACAUGCAUACUCUACAAGUAGUGAUCCCAAGGUCAUCGCUGGAUACUUUAUUGAUGCGGUGUCAUCAAGGAAUGGGACAGCCACCCGAAUUCACUCAGACUUAUGGACAGAGAAUUGUUACAUGGAACAGAUGCAGAUGUUCUUGAGACAUGAUCAUAUGGACUAUUCGAGAAAUUGCUAUUUGUAUGGCUCAAGCAAUCAUAACCAACGGAUAGAGCACUGGUGGGGAUUUUUGAGGAAGCAGCAUGCACAGUUCUGGAUCAACCUAUUUCAAGAUCUAAAAGAUUCUGACGACUUCUCCGGUGACUUCCUAGACAAAAGUCUAAUACAGUUCACAUGUCUUGAAAUAAUAGAGAUAGAACUGCCGGAUGUUGUUCACCUCUGGAACACUCACAGAAUUCGCCCAUCCAGAAAUGCUGUGUCUCCAGGUGGACGUCCAGUGAUGAUGUACACCCUACCUCAACUUUUUGGUGCUAGGGAGUACCUUAAAGAGGCAUCCCAACAGAAGAUACAGGCUUGUAGGGAGGAAUGUCGUGAGAGAGGACCAUAUCCCUGUGAUAAUACAGUGUUUGACAUUUGUUGCCUUGCCAUGGCAGAAAACAGUCUUCAUCCACCAACCUCUCCAGAGGAAGCCAUUGAUCUUUACAUGUUCUUACGUGCUUACAUACGUACCCAAAUUUAAUAAUCACAAGUUGUUCUACUGGAUCAAAUGACUGAAUGUGAGCACCCACUCAUAGCCAAAAAAAAACAACAGAAUUGCAGUUUGGAUGAGAGAGCGAUAGAUAAAGAACACAAAAAAAUAAAAAAAAAAAAAAAGAUGAGAGAGAGAGAGAG
ensembl:lncRNA